rnacentral:rRNA from 1 species
UAACGAAGGGGGCUAGCGUUGCUCGGAAUCACUGGGCGUUAAAGCGCACGUAGGCGGAUCUUUAAGUCAGGGGUGAAAUCCCAAGGCUCAACCUUGGAACUGCCUUUGAUACUGGGGAGUCGUCGAGUCCGGAAGAGGUGAGUGGGAACUGCGAGUGUAGAGGUGAAAUUCGUAGAUAUUCGCAAGAACACCAGUGGCGAAGGCGGACUCACUGGUCCGGU